rnacentral:rRNA from 1 species
ACCAGACUUGCCUGGAGAUCCUCGUUAAAGGAUUUAAAUUGUACCCAUUCCGAUGACAGACCUCGAAGAGGACUGUCUCGUUAUUUUUCGUCACUACCUCUCCGUUCUGGAAGUGGGUAAUUUGCGCGCCUGCUGCCUUCCUUGGAUGUGGUAGCCGUUUCUCAGGCUCCCUCUCCGGAGUCGAACCCUUAUUCUCCGUUACCCGUUACUACCAUGGUAGGCGUAUAACCUACCAUCGAAAGUUGAUAAGGCAGACACUUGAAAGAUACAUCGCCAGUACUAGGACUGUGCGAUUGGCAAAGUUAUUCAGAUUCACCAAAUUACGGGCCGAAACCCGAUUGGUUUUUAUUCUAAUAUAUGCGCUCGUUCCUUGCGGGCGGAGCUUUUUUGCAUGUAUUAGCUCUAGAAUUGCCACAGUUAUCCAAGUAGAAUAACUAUAUUCUAGUAAACGGUGGCUGUUGUAAUGAGCUAUUCGCGGCUUCACCGUAUUAAGGCAUGUGCUUAGACAUGCAUGGCUUAAUCUUUGAGACAAGCAUAUGACUACUGGCAGGAUCAACCAG